rnacentral:rRNA from 1 species
UCAAGCUAAUAAGGGCAAACGGUGGAUGCCUAGGCGCUGAGAGGCGAAGAAGGACGCGGUUAGCUGCGAAAAGCUUCGGGGAGCCGCUAAACAGGCUUUGAUCCGGAGAUCUCCGAAUGGGGAAACCCGGUUGGCGUAAUAGCCAAUCAUCCCGGAAGGGAAGCAAACCCGGAGAACUGAAACAUCUCAGUACCCGGAGGAGAAGAAAUCAAAAGAGAUUCCGCAAGUAGCGGCGAGCGAACGCGGAAGAGCCCAAACCUGGAUCUUUCGAGAUCCGGGGGUUGCAGGGACCCGAUGUGGGAUGUGAGAGAAUAGCAGAAGGAUCUGGAAAGAUCGUCCAUAGAGGGUGAAAGGCCCGUAUGCGAAAUUCCGACACACCCUAGGGAACCCCUGAGUACCGCGGGGCACGUGGAACCCCGUGGGAACCUGGGAGGACCAUCUUCCAAGGCUAAAUACUCCUCAGCGACCGAUAGUGAACCAGUACCGUGAGGGAAAGGUGAAAAGCACCCCGGGAGGGGAGUGAAAUAGUACCUGAAACCGUUUGCCUACAAGCAGUGGGAGAACGAUGAAUCUUCGGAUUCCGUUUGACCGCGUGCCUUUUGCAUAAUGAGUCAGCGAGUUACUCUCUGUGGCAAGGUUAAGCCGAUAGGUGUAGCCGCAGCGAAAGCGAGUCCGAACAGGGCGCAUGAGUUGCAGGGAGUAGACCCGAAACCAGGUGAUCUAUCCAUGGCCAGGGUGAAGUCUCGGUAAUGCGAGAUGGAGGCCCGAACCGAAGAAGGUUGAAAACUUCUCGGAUGAGCUGUGGAUAGGAGUGAAAGGCUAAUCAAACCUGGAAAUAGCUGGUUCUCCCCGAAAUGCAUUGAGGUGCAGCCUCGAGGCAAGAAUAACGGAGGUAGAGCACUGAAUGGGCUAGGGGUCUUACCGGAUUACCAAACCCAAUCAAACUUCGAAUGCCGUUAUAUCAUCCUCGGGAGUGAGACUGCGGGAGAUAAGUUCCGUAGUCGAGAGGGAAAGAGCCCAGACCGUCAGCUAAGGUCCCUAAAUGAAUGCUAAGUGGGAAAGGAUGUGGAUACGCACAGACAACCAGGAGGUUGGCUUAGAAGCAGCCAUCCUUUAAAGAAAGCGUAACAGCUCACUGGUCUAGUGUGCCUGCGCCGAAAAUUCAACGGGGCUAAGCAUUCUACCGAAGCUGCGGCUUGAUCUUCGGAUCAGGGGUAGGGGAGCAUUGCAGUGGCCGUCGAAGGUGUACCGAGAGGAGCGCUGGAGGUGCUGCAAGAGAUUAUGCUGACAUGAGUAACGAUAAAGCGGGUGAGAAUCCCGCUCGCCGUAAGCCUAAGGUUUCCUGGGUAAAGGUCGUCUGCCCAGGGUUAGUCGGUCCCUAAGCUGAGGCCGAAAGGCGUAGGUGAUGGGAAACAGGUUAAUAUUCCUGUACCACCGGAUGAGCGUUUGAGUGAUGGGGGGACGCAGAAGGGUAGGCCGGCCGGGUGAUGGAAGUCCCGGUUCAAGCCGGUAGGCGGAGGUUCCAGGCAAAUCCGGAACCUUGUCAACGCCGAGAGGUGAUGAGGAGGGCGUAAGCCCACAAACCGGUUGAUCCCAUGCUGCCAAGAAAAGCCUCUAGCGAGCUCGUCAGGUGACCGUACCGUAAACCGACACAGGUAGGCGAGGAGAGAAUCCUCAGGCGCGUGAGAGAACCCUGUUUAAGGAACUCGGCAAAAUCACACCGUAACUUCGGGAGAAGGUGUGCCCUCAUUAGGUGAAAAGACUAGCUUUUGGAGCCGAAGGGGGUUGCAAAGAAAUGGCGGUAGCGACUGUUUACUAAAAACAUAGGACUCUGCCAAGUCGCAAGACGACGUAUAGGGUCUGACGCCUGCCCGGUGCUGGAAGGUUAAGGGGAGAUGUUAUCGCAAGAGAAGCAUUGAACCGAAGCCCCAGUAAACGGCGGCCGUAACUAUAACGGUCCUAAGGUAGCGAAAUUCCUUGUCGGGUAAGUUCCGACCUGCACGAAUGGCGUAACGACUUCCGCACUGUCUCAAACAGGGACUCAGUGAAAUUGCAGUCUCGGUGCAGAUACCGAGUACCCGCGGCUAGACGGAAAGACCCCGUGCACCUUUACUAUAGCUUGGCAUUGGAUUUUGGGCGUGUAUGUGUAGGAUAGGUGGGAGGCGAUGAAACGGGAGCGCCAGCUCUCGCGGAGCCGUCCUUGAAAU